CAUCCUACGACUUCUUCUCUUCGGCGGCUUUCGAUCUGUCAUUCUCCUUCCAUUCGAAGUCGUUUAUGGUGUAUUCGUUAUUAAAACUGUUCGUUCGAUUUAGAGAGGUCGCGUGAUGAUCGCAUAGUUCAAAUGAUCUACACCAUCUUGUAUGGUGUUAUGAUUAUUGACAACGUCUUUCGCUCCUAUCUGAUGACCUUUUCUUUAGUUUCGACAUCGUGUCUUCGUUGUUUUUAAGAAUUGUAUGUAGAACUGAAUUAUAAAUUUAAAAUGUAGAGUCGGAACAGAAACUCUUAAGAGUUCGACUUAAUAAUCAAGAUCAUUAGAUUGAAGCAUUUCAAAUCUGAAUGGCGAGGGUAAGAAACCUCCGCUAUCUCUUUGCAUUUAUUCUUGUUUAUGGCGGUCGAUCAGUGUGUCGGAUGGCAGCUCAGACGCAAUUGAAUGUGACAGUUUUGGGAAACUUGUUCUCAUAACCCAACACUCUUUGCUUUUAACUUCUGUUUUAAUCCAAA